GGGCUGCUCAAGGGGGUGACCCAGCCCUCUCCCGGAAGCCCCACAGCCCUCUCAGCCUGGGCUUGCAUUCUGCCCCCGCCUCUAGCCCCCCCACACCCUCCCCGGCGGUCUUCUUUAGAAUUGGGGGGCGGUGCGUCGUGAUUUCCCAGCAAGGGUAGACUAGGGCUCUUUCCAACAAGGGGAGCGCCCCCCAGGCUGCCGAGCAUUCUUAAAGCUGGGAGCCUGAUAGGAGCCGACUAGCCCGAUGGAGGGGCGCAGCUGCCGGCUCAGCGAGUUCCUGGGUGUGUGCGCGUCUCCCCUACCCGGACCCUCCGUCCACCUCCUCUCGUGUCCCGGCCUUUGAUCUCGGCAGGCUUGGCAGAGGGCGGGAGCCCAGAGCCUCAGCCGGCAGCUGGGAGGGUCGCACGUACAGCCGGUGCCCCCGGUGCUGAGGCCGGGGCCAAAGUCGGCCCGCGGGACCCGGGAGCUGCGGAGCGGAGCGCGGGGAGCCUGGUGCCCCGGCCCCCUGCGAUGGCCGCCGGACGCAGCCCCAGGGACUGCGGAUGCUGGGGUGCUCCUCCUUAGCGGGCGCAGCCUUUUCCUCACCUACCGCGGGGGCCGGCAGAAUGGGGGGCGGCGGGUCGGCCCUGAGGGUCUGCGCCGAGCACCGCGGGGGCAUCAACUGGCUCAGUCUGAGCCCGGACGGGCAGCGCCUGCUGACGGGCAGCGAGGACGGCACGGCCCGGCUCUGGAGCACCGCGGACGGCCAGUGCUGCGCCCUCCUCCAAGGACAUGAAAGCUACGUGACCUUCUGCCAGCUGGAGAAUGAGGCUGCCUUUACGUGCAGCGCUGACUGCACCAUCAGGAAGUGGGAUGUGCUGACCGGGCAGUGCCUGCAGGUGUUCCGAGGACACACGUCCAUUGUGAACAGGAUCCUGGUCGCCAACAACCAGCUCUUCAGUGGCUCCUAUGACCGGACAGCUCGCGCCUGGAGUGUGGACAAAGGACAGGUGUCCCGAGAGUUCCGGGGCCACCGCAACUGUGUGCUGACUCUAGCCUACUCUGCACCCUGGGACCUCCCCGGGGCCCCCUUUGAGGAGGAGGCUGCGGCGGGGGGCCUCCUGGUAACGGGCAGCACGGACGGCAUGGCAAAGGUGUGGCAGGUGGCCAGUGGCUGCUGCCACCAGACGCUGCGGGGCCACACUGGCGCGGUGCUAUGCCUUGUGCUGCACACGCCCAGCCACACGGCCUUCACUGGCAGCACCGACACCACCAUCCGCGCCUGGGACAUCCUGAGUGGGGAGCAGCUGCGGGUGUUCCGGGAGCACCAGGGACCCGUCAUCUGUCUGGAGCUCGUGAACCAGCACGUGUACUCAGGCAGCGCCGACAGGACGGCCAAGUGCUGGCUGAUGGACACAGGGGAGCGCGUGCGCACAUUCACGGCUCACCGACGCAGCGUGAGCACCCUAAAGUACCAUGCGGGCACCUGUAAGUGGCCCCGGCCCUCCCCACACCGCCCCCGCUUGCUGCACCCGCUUUGCCACUGCCUGUCCCCGUCACGCCUCUCCCCCCUCCAAAUCUUCCCUGGUCAGGGCCUCUCUGCUUCUCUACUUCUCCUUCGAGGUCCCCUUGAGCCUCCGCUGCCAUUCAGGAUGGUCAGUACUGAAAGGCAGCGGCCAUUCCCAGAUAACAGUGGUCUGAAUGGGAUCGCGGUUUGUUUUUCUCUCAGCUGGAAGAAUUUUAGGGGCUGUCAGUCUAGGCUAGAAUGGAUGGCUCCAUGAAGUUAUGAGGCUCCCAGGUCCCUCCUGUCACUUUGCUUCAUCCUUAGCACGUAUCCUCCAUCUUUAAGGGGCCUUAUGGUUCAAGAGAGCUGCUGGAGCUCGCGUGUCAUACAUCAGGCUAGCAGGAAGAAGAGGGAAGGGCAAACGGAUGAGUCUCCUGGCUGAGUAGGCCCCUUUCAAGAUCUUUCCUGGAAGCUCCACCCAAAGACUUCUGUAUACAUCUCUUUGACCUCUUCCUGCAAGAGAGGCUGAGGAAUGAAAUCUCUUACCGGGGGACACUGCUCCCAAGACUAAUCAGGGUUCUUUUGCAAAGAAAGAAGAACAGAAUGGCUUAUCGGGUAGGCAACAAACUGUCUAUCCCAUGGGUCUCAAAUUGUCACACAUCUGGGCUUUGCUGGCUCUGUCGAACUGACUUGCCAUGCGUUCACACUCCAGGCACACGCAGAAGACAAACCCUGUUCCGGGGAAGCAACCGCCCCAAGCACACCACACAGGCAUGGGAGGGGGCUCCCAGGUUCCUGAAGAUCUGUUUCCCAAUGCGGUCCCCAAUGUUACGAUUUGCUAUCAGUCCCUCCAACACACACUAUUCACACACACACACCAGCAGGAAGGCCCAGAGCUGAGCCUAAGUCGGCUUCCUAGCACUGGGGUGAGGGAAGAGCCACAGUGCAAACUUCCAGUGACUUCGCAGCACAGGUGUUAGAUGAAGACAGAAUGUGGAUCUCUGAAAAUAGAACUUGAGAUGCCCUUGGGUUUAGGUGUUUGACAGGGAAACAUUAUUUUUCCCUUCUUCCUGUAUCCAAACCCGGAAGUGUGAUUAUGGCUCCGCUCCCAAGUCCGGGACCUCUAACUUAAAAAAAAUGUUGCCUAGAGCGCCUCCCCUUGGCAGCAGCUGGGAUGGAAGCUGCUGCUGUAUGCAAUCCUAGGGGCCCUACCUGCUGCCCACUGUUAAGGAACUUGGUCCUUGGUCUUUGCCAGCAGGCUGCAGGAUGGUUAGACUUAAUUCCUGACCCUCUUCCCACCCGCUGCAUGUUCAACAGCUACACUGAGUUGGUGGGAGGGGAAGGCAGGCAAGGAGCUGAAGACCCAGAAAUGGAAUUUCCCUCAGGGCCACAUUUACAGGUGGCUGUAACAGAAAGGCUGUCAACAGGCAGGUGACACGUGACAUGGAGUGGGAAGGGAGCCCUCUGGGGGUUCUUGCUGUGGCAUGCUCCAGCUCAGGCUGCCGGUGGGUGUAGCAGAUGCUGUGGGUACCACAUUCAGAGGUGCUUCUUGCUGUGGCACCUGAAGUCCUCUGCCUGAGGGCAUGUUCCUGUGAGGAGCGCUGGGAAUUGACACCGAGAGGCCCUGGGCCAGUGACUCAUGGAGUUGCUGGAUAAGCAGCCCAGCAUCCUUGCCCCCGGGUGGGACAACUGAGACGUGGUCUGCACCUUCUCCCAAGGCCCCAGCAGUCACCGGCUCACCAGCACACCUGUAUGGCAUCCUUUUUUCCUGUUUCUCUCCCCACUUCCGGGAAGGCCCUGCCAGGUGAACUAUUUGCACUGAGCCCUAGUGUCAGGUUCAGCUGGGACAACCAGGCUAGCUGCUCGUGUACCAGGUCAGUGUUCUCAGUGUGGUCCCUGGCCAACAGCAGCAGCAGCAGCAUCUGGAACGGGUAGAAAUGCAGGUUCUCAGGCCCCACCCCAGACCUCCUACGUCAGAAGCUCAGGUGGGCCCAGCAGUCUGCCUCUUAACAAGCCCUGCCCGUGAUUCGGACACACAUGGGGGUUGGGAAUACUCCUACGAAAUUACAAUGUAGGAAACCGGGCUCCUCGGGGCCAGAGGUUGGGCAAGGACACUCUGGUGGGCCCCACGGACCUGGACUCUGGGGAGCCCAGUUCAUUGCUGGGGGCGGGGAUCUGGCUGAUCCUUGCUCCGGAGGCUGCUCAGAUGGUGGGGAGAGGGGUGAUACCCCUGAGGCAGGGGCUUCAGAGCUGCCGGCAACACCCGGCUGCCACCAAAAUGCCUGAGUGGGAACCUGGGCCCAGAUGGUGCUCAGCAGACAGAAACACCUGGAAGGCCAGCGCAGGCGGAUUGGAAACCCGAGAAAGGCCCAGCAGGCCCCCAGCCGUCACUCUGACUCACAGAAAUGUAGUUAAGAUAAUGAAGGCGCCGCCUCCUUCCUUUCAAGGGGCUUCUUCUAUUCCCCACUUGAACCUUAUGACAUCCCUGUAAGGCGGGCGGAUGGGGCCUGGAGAGGGUCCAGGUGAAUCGGCCCGCCCUGCCCCUGCCCUGCGGCGUCCUGGAGACGUGGAGGGCUCUCGGGCGGGACGCCCAGUGGCGCGUGUGUCCACAGUGUUCACCGGCAGCGGGGACGCCCGCGCGCGCGCCUUCGACGCCCAGUCCGGAGCGCUGCAGAGGGUGUUCCGCGGCCACGCCUUUAUCAUUAACUGCAUCCAGGUCCACGGCCAGGUGCUGUACACCGCCUCGCACGAUGGCGCG